UACAGAGGUCUCAAGCGUUGUUCGGAUUCAUUGGGCGUAAAGGGUGCGUAGGCGGCGCGGUAAGUCGGGUGUGAAAUCUUGUAGCUUAACUCCGAAACUGCAUUCGAUACUGCCGUGCUUGAGGACUGGAGAGGAGACUGGAAUUUACGGUGUAGCGGUGAAAUGCGUAGAUAUCGUAAGGAAGACCAGUGGCGAAGGCGGGUCUCUGGACAGUUCCUGACGCUGAGGCACGAAGGCCAGGGGAGCAAACGGG
rnacentral:rRNA from 1 species